AGCAGCCGCGGUAAUUCCAGCUCCAAUAGCGUAUAUUAAAGUUGUUGCAGUUAAAAAGCUCGUAGUUGAAUUUCGGGAUCAGUAGGUCGGUCAUGCCUCUGGUAUGUACUGGCCUCACUGGUUCCUCCUUCCUGAUGAACUGUAAUGCCAUUAAUUUGGUGUUGCGGGGAGACUGGACUGUUACUUUGAAAAAUUAGAGUGUUUAAAGCAGGCUAACGCUUGAAUACAUUAGCAUGGAAUAAUGAAAUAGGACGUUCGAUCCUAUUUUGUUGGUUUCUAGGAUAGACGUAAUGAUUAAUAGGGAUAGUUGGGGGCAUUAGUAUUCAAUUGUCAGAGGUGAAAUUCUUGGAUUUAUUGAAGACUAACUACUGCGAAAGCAUUUGCCAAGGAUGUUUUCAUUAAUCAAGAACGAAAGUUAGGGGAUCGAAGACGAUCAGAUACCGUCGUAGU
rnacentral:rRNA from 2 species